rnacentral:rRNA from 1 species
CCUUACUGAUAAGUGGGGAAUAGCCCAGAGAAAUUUGGAUUAAUACCCCGUAACAUUGCGAUGUGGCAUCACAUUGCAAUUAUAGCUUCGGCGCUUAUUGAUGGGUGUGCGUAUGAUUAGAUAGUUGGCGGGGUAACGGCCCACCAAGUCUACGAUCAUUAGCUGAUGUGAGAGCAUGAUCAGCCACACGGGCACUGAGACACGGGCCCG